CGUCGGACUAUAAUGCAGUCGAGCGGACAGAAGGGAGCUUGUCCCGGAUGUUAGCGGCGGACGGGUGAGUAACACGUGGGUAACCUGCCUGUAAGACUGGGAUAACUCCGGGAAACCGGAGCUAAUACCGGAUAGUUCCUUGAACCGCAUGGUUCAAGGAUGAAAGACGGUUUCGGCUGUCACUUACAGAUGGACCCGCGGCGCAUUAGCUAGUUGGUGAGGUAACGGCUCACCAAGGCGACGAUGCGUAGCCGACCUGAGAGGGUGAUCGGCCACACUGGGACUGAGACACGGCCCAGACUCCUACGGGAGGCAGCAGUAGGGAAUCUUCCGCAAUGGACGAAAGUCUGACGGAGCAACGCCGCGUGAGUGAUGAAGGUUUUCGGAUCGUAAAGCUCUGUUGUUAGGGAAGAACAAGUGCAAGAGUAACUGCUUGCACCAUGACGGUACCUAACCAGAAAGCCACGGCUAACUACGUGCCAGCAGCCGCGGUAAUACGUAGGUGGCAAGCGUUGUCCGGAAUUAUUGGGCGUAAAGGGCUCGCAGGCGGUUUCUUAAGUCUGAUGUGAAAGCCCCCGGCUCAACCGGGGAGGGUCAUUGGAAACUGGGAAACUUGAGUGCAGAAGAGGAGAGUGGAAUUCCACGUGUAGCGGUGAAAUGCGUAGAGAUGUGGAGGAACACCAGUGGCGAAGGCGACUCUCUGGUCUGUAACUGACGCUGAGGAGCGAAAGCGUGGGGAGCGAACAGGAUUAGAUACCCUGGUAGUCCACGCCGUAAACGAUGAGUGCUAAGUGUUAGGGGGUUUCCGCCCCUUAGUGCUGCAGCUAACGCAUUAAGCACUCCGCCUGGGGAGUACGGUCGCAAGACUGAAACUCAAAGGAAUUGACGGGGGCCCGCACAAGCGGUGGAGCAUGUGGUUUAAUUCGAAGCAACGCGAAGAACCUUACCAGGUCUUGACAUCCUCUGACAACCCUAGAGAUAGGGCUUUCCCUUCGGGGACAGAGUGACAGUGGUGCAUGCGUCGUCAGCUCGUGUCGUGAGAUGGUGGGUAGUCCCGCACGAGCGCACCCUUGGAUCUUAGUUGCAGCAUCAGUUGGUCA
rnacentral:rRNA from 1 species